UUCAACUUGUGCGUCAUCACCUCAGGAUCUAUCCCCGGCAUGUCUGAAGGCCUCUGGGCAAAGCUUGAGGCAUGUCUUCUGAUAAGAGCCAUGGCUAUCUCUUUUUGGUCUUUUUCAAGGCUCGCAUUGAUACUGAAGACUUUGUCCCUUUCUUCCUCAGAUAGUGGGAAUGUCUCUAGCUCAUCAACUGGCUCCAUCCUGGCUUCCUUCUUCUUAUACCG
rnacentral:lncRNA from 1 species